UACGGGGGGGGCAAGCGUUGUUCGGAAUUACUGGGCGUAAAGGGCGCGUAGGCGGUUCGCUAAGUUGAAUGUGAAAACUCUGGGCUUAACCCAGAGCCUGCAUUCAAUACUGGCGGGCUAGAGUUCUGGAGGGGAUAGCGGAAUUCCUGGUGUAGCGGUGAAAUGCGUAGAUAUCAGGAGGAACACCGGUGGCGAAGGCGGCUAUCUGGACAGAGUCUGACGCUGAGGAGCGAAAGCCAGGGGAGCAAACGGG
rnacentral:rRNA from 1 species